rnacentral:rRNA from 1 species
GUGGGGAAUAUUGGACAAUGGGCGCAAGCCUGAUCCAGCAAUUCCGCGUGAGCGAAGAAGGCCUUCGGGUUGUAAAGCUCUUUCGGCGGGGACGAUAAUGACGGUACCCGCAGAAGAAGCCCCGGCUAACUCCGUGCCAGCAGCCGCGGUAAUACGGAGGGGGCUAGCGUUGUUCGGAAUCACUGGGCGUAAAGCGCACGUAGGCGGCUACUCCAGUCAGAGGUGAAAGCCCGGGGCUCAACUCCGGAAUUGCCUUUGAAACUAGGUAGCUUGAACGUCGGAGAGGUAAGUGGAAUUCCGAGUGUAGAGGUGAAAUUCGUAGAUAUUCGGAAGAACACCAGUGGCGAAGGCGACUUACUGGACGACUGUUGACGCUGAGGUGCGAAAGCGUGGGGAGCAAACAGGAUUAGAAACCCUUGUAGUCC